UCCUCUCACCUCAUCAUUCCACAAAACUGAACUACUUACUAACUAAGUUUAAGAAAAUAUUGUGGCUUGGCUUAAAAUAACCAUGCUACUUAUCUGACUAUUGUUACAAACGUACCACUGUUACACACGCAACGGCAGUAAUUUAUGUGGCAUAGUUUAACUAUGUUAGAACGUUAGAAUGACUCACCAUCUUAUUUUUGUUUCACACAUGACAGGAACAGCUGCCUCCUGAGAGUUCUGUGCUUGUUUGACCCAAUCAAGCAUCCGCGGCUUACUCAUGUGGGCUGUCUCGCUCUUUAUACUACUUCACCUGACUUCCUCCUUUGCCGCUGUAAUAACAACCAUGGCCACUAGAGGUCGCCCCCUAUCAAGAAACAUACAUGUGGGUUGUGAGAAGCUGCUUUCAAUCUAUAGCGGUGUUCUUCAGGAGCCCUGCAGCUGAAGCAGAAGUCCCAGAAGCCUCACCAUAGUUUCCUGCCUCCUCUGGAUCCUAUUGUGGUCCUCACCACCAAUCCCAGGCUCUGCAGGCCAGUCCAGUGCUCACUAACACUAAAGCCUGUAGGUUACACCAGCGCUGUAGUACACCCCUGUGUUUUAUUACACGUAGUGUUGCAAAAUGUAAUAAAAUAACGUCUUCACAUCAGGUAAACCCCUCCCAUUCCCCAUACAAACGGAUGCAUCAAAUAAGGGGAACAGGAAGAUGUUUCCCCUUGUUGUACAAGACUUGAGGCCAGAAAGUGGUAUCACCAACAAAAUGCCAUAGAGAAUACGGAUGAGUCAGCUGCUGGGAUUAUAUGCAUACAACAAUCAUUAGAUAUAGGUUUAUAUUGCAGACAACACUAAUGUCAAUUAUGGAGACCACAACUUCGUGUUCACCAACCUGAAGAAAAAGUUACAUAUUACGCAAAACACAGUAAAGCAGGCUCUUGACCAGCUCACUGUAGAUGUUGCAAAAGUUGUGCUGGGGAUCUAUGGCUUCUUCUGCUCAGUGAAGACUCGGCUAAGGAAAAUGUUGCUGCAAGAGGGAGGAGAGAAGUCUGUUGACUGUUUAACCAUAGUUUACUGCUCCACACAGACAUGAAAAAAACCUUUGUGAUAAACAGAUGACUUUGUGGGAGAGGGAUGAGAGAAGGAGGAAUGUUUUACACUUUAAAUGUUUCAUGAAUUGUUAUUUGCACACUCAGAAUUUGUUUUAGGUUUCUUUCAUUUGUGGUGAAAAAGAAAACAUGGAGGGAUAUGAAAAUACUGACAUGAAAAGUCUUGUGUGGACAAGGAGCAUCACCAUUCUGAGAUUAUUUUCAAUGAUUAUUCCUUCUCUGAAAGUCCUUCUGUUCUCCUGCACUUCU
rnacentral:lncRNA from 1 species